UCGCGUCCAAGAUGAUGAUCGCGGAGGAGCUGGCGGGCAGCUGGGACCAGCCCACCCGCACCAUCGUCAUGCACGCCAACGAGGCCAGCCACGUGCAGCGCCUGGCGCUGCAGCUCGCCGACAAGGCCGCAGUGGUGGUCGACCUCAACGAGCGCGCGCUCGCCUACCGCACCGGAGGCCUGCGCGACGCCGAUGACGAGGGCGGAGCCGGCGGCGGCGGCGGCCGCCGCGGCCGCCGCGACGGCGGCCAGUGGGCCGACGACGAGGGCGGCGCGGGCGGCCGCAGCCGCGGCGGGCCGCGGGUGGGCGGGCCGCCACGGGGCAUGGGCGGCCGUGGCGGUGGAGACCGCGGUGACCGCGGCGGCGGCCGCGGUGGUGGUCGUGGUGGCGGCAUGGGCGGCGGCGCGGGCGGCGGCAUGGGCGGCGGCGGCAUGUCGGCCCUGGGCAACCUGCGCGGCGGCCCGCGCGGCGACCGCGACGGCAGCCAGCGGCCGUAGACGACGUGGGUGCGGUGGUGGUGGUGGGCUGUGUCGUGGCGGCGCGUGUGCAGUCGUGGCGGUGUGGUGGGAGCCGAGGGGUGGAGGAUGGUGGGAGCGGGUGGCAAUGAGGAGGAGAUGAGGCAGGGAGGGUGGAGGCGUGUGAAGCAUCGCAGCAGCAUUAGGCAGCGCGUGUGGUUGUGUGAUUGGNNNNNNNNNNNNNNNNNNNNNNNNNNNNNNNNNNNNNNNNNNNNNNNNNNNNNNNNNNNNNNNNNNNNNNNNNNNNNNNNNNNNNNNNNNNNNNNNNNNNGAGGGAGGGGCGAUGAGCGAGGGGGAAUUGCCGGGGUAAUCCACUGGGGACAGGAUAGAAGCAGGUCAGUCAUGGGACAGCGAGUAAGAACAUCAGGCAUUGCAAGGCGAGCGGGGGGCGAGACGGGGGGGUCGUUUCGCCGUUCCCAGUGAAGAACAAGGAACGGGGGUGGGGAUUGGAACUUAUGAGCGGGGCACUGCCCUUGCUCCGGAGCUGGAUCUUACCACCUACACAACCCCACGCACCACACCAUCACGUGCACACUCGCGCCUCCCUUCUCAAACCCCAACCUCCCUCCCUCACCGCCCGCCGCAGGUGCCCAACAUGGCCGCUAACCCGCUCAACCCCAAGAAGAAGAUGAUCUCCAAGCCCUUCCAGCGCAUCUGGGACACCUAUGCGCGCCAGGCCUUCACCGGCCCGCCCGAGAACGUGCGCGACCACGUCAUGGCCGCGAGCAGGGCGCUGGCGCAGGUGGGGAGGGGGGGGGGGCAGAGGGUAGGGGGGGUGGGGGGGAGGAGGGGGGGGGUCCAGGGUGGGGGGGAGGUGGACGGUAAGGGGUUGGGGGGUGGAGCGGCGGAGGAGCGUAAGGAUGGGGUGGGGUGGGUGUUGGACGGUGGGGCGGAGGAUAGGGGUGGGGCCUGGGGAGCGAGGUGGGGGCUGGGAUAGGUGGAUGGGCGUGUGCCGCGCCGGUUGCACGUGCGUCGCCUGGCCCGUACGUGGUCACACGUGGUCACAUGCCGGCCGUCUUCCACUUCCUCAGCCUAUCAUGAAUGUAACUCCCCUCCUCCUUCUCAACCCCCUCGACCACCUCCACCUCCCCUCAGGGCGACUGGUCCAAGUCGUACGGCUACAUCAAGUCGCUGAACGCCUGGAACCUGGUGGGGCGCAAGGAGCAGUUGCUGGGUCUGCUCAAGUUGCGCAUCCAGGAGGAGGCGGUGCGCACCUACUUGCUCAGCUACGCCGGACAGUACGCCUCGCUGUCACUGGACCAGCUGGCAAGCAUGUUCGAGCUGCCAGACCGCCAGAUCUACAGGUGGGGGGUGGGGCGGGGGAGGGGGGUGUAAAUACCAGCCCAAACUACACCAAAACCAACGAAAACGAGCGGAGCACAGGCGGAGGCGUUAUGGAGGGGCAUGGGUUGGUUUGCCUGCUCGACAGGGCUUCACAUUCAGCGGCGGCGAUCGCGACGCGCGGUGGACGUCCGCAGCAUUCCCCCUCCCACAACUCGGCUCAACAGCUCCUCACCCAACUCACCUCCUACUCACCGCAUCCUCCCAACACCACCAACCUCUUGAACCCGCCGCAGCAUCGCGUCCAAGAUGAUGAUCGCGGAGGAGCUGGCGGGCAGCUGGGACCAGCCCACCCGCACCAUCGUCAUGCACGCCAACGAGGCCAGCCACGUGCAGCGCCUGGCGCUGCAGCUCGCCGACAAGGCCGCAGUGGUGGUCGACCUCAACGAGCGCGCGCUCGCCUACCGCACCGGAGGCCUGCGCGACGCCGAUGACGAGGGCGGAGCCGGCGGCGGCGGCGGCCGCCGCGGCCGCCGCGACGGCGGCCAGUGGGCCGACGACGAGGGC
rnacentral:lncRNA from 1 species